UGUCUGAUCGUAGACCAGAUGGGUGUGUCUGAUCGAAGACCAGGUGUGUUUGUCAGAUCGUAGACCAGGUCUGUAUGUCUGAUCGUAAACCAGGUGGGUGUGUUUGACCGUAGACCAGGUGGGUGUGUUUGAUCGUAGACCAGGUGAGUAUGUGUGAUCGUAGACCAGGUGGAUGUGUCUGAUAGUAGACCAGGUGAGUGUGUUUGAUCGUAGACCAGGUGGGUCUGUCUGAUCGUAGAUCGGUUGGGUGUGUAUGUUUGAUCGUAGACCAGGUGGGUGUGUCUGAUCGUAGACCAGGUGGGUGUGUUUGAUCGUAGACCAGUUGGGUGUGUUUGAUCGUAGACCAGGUGGGUGUGUUUGAUCGUAGACC